UGGGAAACAACAAGUACAGGGUGCGCCAAGAACAAAGUGAAUAAUUCUAUUAUUUAUUUUAUUUAUUCACUUUGUUCUUGGCGCACCCUGUACUUGUUGUUUUCUUUUU